AACGAACGCUGGCGGCACGCCUAACACAUGCAAGUCGAACGAGACCUUCGGGUCUAGUGGCGCACGGGUGCGUAACGCGUGGGAACCUGCCCUUAGGUUCGGAAUAACUCCCCGAAAGGGGUGCUAAUACCGGAUAAUGUCUUCGGACCAAAGAUUUAUCGCCUUUGGAUGGGCCCGCGUUGGAUUAGCUAGUUGGUAGGGUAAAAGCCUACCAAGGCGACGAUCCAUAGCUGGUCUGAGAGGAUGAUCAGCCACACUGGGACUGAGACACGGCCCAGACUCCUACGGGAGGCAGCAGUGGGGAAUAUUGGACAAUGGGCGAAAGCCUGAUCCAGCAAUGCCGCGUGAGUGAUGAAGGCCUUAGGGUUGCAAAGCUCUUUUACCCGGGAUGAUAAUGACAGUACCGGGAGAAUAAGCUCCGGCUAACUCCGUG
rnacentral:rRNA from 1 species